rnacentral:lncRNA from 1 species
CCAUGCCUGCUUUAGAGACAGAGAGCAAGAGGAAGUGAGCAAGGGAGGUCAUUCGCAAUUCUGUCACUCCUAAAUUUGUCUGAACCUUUUUGGAAGGCAUUUGUAUUUCCUGCCAGCACCACCUCUUGGGGGUGAUGAAUUCCAAUAAGUUUCAAUCCGUUUAUUACUCACUGUGAGAGAAAUUGCUUCCUUUUAUGUCUGGAACUAAACCUGGAUCACAUUUCACAGGAUAUCCCCUAGUCACAGAGUUUUGGAAUCUGACCUGGAGGCAAAGGUAUGGAUGAGAUCACAUAGCAAGGAGAUUGCUGCUGAGAAGGAGUCAAAGCCUGGGUUUUACUUGUGGCCUUGCUGCUACACCAACUUUACUGACAUGCCAUUCUGGGAUAGUCUUUUCUCUCUGAGGCUUCAAGAGAAGAUGAGAAUACAUUCCAUCCCUACCUCUUGGAGUCAUUGUGAGGACUCAGAUGAAGUGCAGCAUCACGCAACAGAACUCAGAUGCCCUCACUGCAUCUCAAAUGCACUCAGCAGGCUGCCAUGCUGUGAGCUGCCCUAUGGAGAAGUCCACAUGGCAAGGAACUGAGGGAUACCUUCAGCCAACAGCCAAUGAGGAACUGAUGCUCCCAGAGAACAGCCUGUAGGAAACUAAUUCCUGCUAACAACCUUCAGAUGACUGCAGGUCUGGCUGGCAACUCAACUGAAGCCUGAGAGAGAUCCUGAAGCAGCGGGUGCAGCUAAGCCUCUGCUGGAUUCCCAUUAGACAGAAACUCAUCACCAGUUUUCCAUGAGAGCACCAAGCCUGUGAUUUCAGUAGAAGCUUAACUGCUCGUCUUUGAGGCACCAAAUCUGAAAAGCGAUCUUCCUGAAGACCAUGCUAAGGCAAGAACAUCCAUAUAAGGGAGAAUUCCUGAAAGUGUUCUAACACUUCAGUGGAAACUCAUCAAUGCUCUGUACCCAGAAUAAUCCCAUUUCGGAGGGUGCAUGGAUGGGGCAGAUGCAUGAUGUGCCCUGAGGAGCAGAGGAAACAUGGGCUUGGGUUGUGAAGGAUCUCAGAGAAGCUCUCCUGGACUGGCCCAAAUGUCUCAAACUUUAAUGUGCACAUAAAUCUAUUAAAAUGCAGCUUCCACUUCAACACAUCUGGAGUGAGACCAGUUUCCAUGCCUGGCUGAUGACCAGAAUUAUUUGGGGUACCUGAUAAAAGUAUAGAUUUGAGGUCCCAUCCUGAGGCACUUGAGGAACUCAAUCACCGGCACGGUCUUCAGUAACUUUUGUUGCACCAGGUAUGGUAUCUUGUACCCUCCUAUUCCCAGCCAUGUGGAUGGGUCCCUAUGGCUGAGUCCCUGCCUCUAAUUUUCAUUCUUCCUGGCAGUCAUCCACUCCCACCCCAGCCACAGCACCCCAUUGAAUGGCAUUCUGACUUGACCAGGUGUGGGUCCACAGGCACCCAGUCUGCUCAGUUAUCCAUCCCAGGCCUUCCCAGCCUCAGCUUAAUUCCCUUGUCA